UUGGUUUGAGUAUACACUCUUAGAAAAAAAGGUUCUUUGGGGUUCUAUAUAGAACCCUAGGGUUCUUUAACCAACUUUAUAGAACCCUUUCUGCCAAAAAGGUUCUAUAUAAGGAGAAAAAACCCUUUUGGCACAAAGGGUUCUUUGGGCUAAAUGUGCUUUAUAUACAUUAUUAGUGCUUUAUUUAAAUGAUUACACUAUUGAACAUUAUAUUUGUGUUUUUACUUCAAUUUUACUUAGGCACACCUUUCAUUCUGAAGAAAACAAACUUAUAUACAUAUUCAAGUUUAAUAGGUUUAUUAGAAAAUAAUAAUUGACGCAUUAUCCUGUAAUGAAAAAAAAAAUCUAAAUUAGUUGUUUCUGGAUCUAGGCGCUAGGGGCAGAAUUCUGCGAUUUGCUGGUUAAAGAAAAUCCUGUAGGAAUUACUUAGAUUCUGAAAGUCAAUUCUUAUAACUCAACCCUCCAAACAGAUGCACUAAAUGAUAUUAGACAUAAAUAACUUGCAUGUGUAUGCGCUGAUCAGUUCUGUACUGUCUGCACGCGCAGUGUCGGAUUCCAGCCGCGCGCGUCGUGCGCGAGUAAUUAGAAUGCGCGUGAACGCAGCAUUUUAAACUUCAACCGUUACGGACGUCCGUUUGAGCUCAGCGCUCGAGAGGACGACGAUUAAAUUGAAUCAAAAAGAAGAAAUGUGGUUUACGGUGCUGUCCGGGCCUGCGCUAUUCUCCGCCAGGAGAUUGUAUUGGACCUAGAAAACGCAUAAAACGAUGUUUCAGGAGCAGUCAAAUCACGUGAUCACAGCGAGACUGCACUGUUUUGUUUACAUUGAUUCAUUUGAAUGAAAUGGACUCUGGAGUGCAGCAUUACUUCAUUAAGAUGAAAAUAACACACCUGUAUGAUUCAAGAUGUCAAGCCCCCUGAACGCAAAGAGAGUCUGCAUCAAAAUUUACGUGCCCCUGAUUGAAAACCAACACAAAAAUGCGUAUAAAUAGUACGAGUGUGUAAUCUCGUAGAAUAUAUACGGCAAAAUGAGUUUUGGCGUGC